AAGGUGAGGGAAGUAGGGGUGCAAUGAAGGUCAAAACGUUGGUACCGUUCCAUCAUGGCUUCCCAGCUCACAGGCGGUUAAGAGAAGGGAAGGAUUCGCUGGCGAGGUUAGCGAUGUAGCUAGCGGGUAAAGUGUUAGCUGCCCAGAACCCAAAGAGAGUGAAGGACAAGUCCAAGCCAAGAGGGAGCGAGAGAGAGAGUGAGGAGAGGUGGGGGGGAGAGAUGGAGAAGCUUUGGGGAUGAUUCAAGAUUAAGGGAUAAGUAAGAGGAGGUGGAAUCAUUGGAAAGAAAAAUGAAAAAGGUUCAAUUUUUUUUCCCAUGGGGGAAAAAAAAGAAAGUAAUUUCACAAGGGAAAAAUACUUUAAGAGCAUUAAGAAGCAUCCAGGUUUCAGAGAAGAGGGAGUAUUGAGGUUAGUGGUUAUUGUGGAGAGGAGUGGUGAAUCUUUCUGGGUAAAGAUAACAGCCUUAUUUUGUAUUUGUGUGUGUGUGUGUGUGUGUGUGUGUCUGUGUGUGUGUGUGUGUGUGUGUGUGGAUGCAGCUGUGUGUGUGGCUGUAGCGUUUGCGGUGAAAGGGAUCAGAGGAACAUAUGGUUAAUGCGUCCUGUUAAUGCUGAUGUCUUUUCUGUGAGGGCCGAUCCACGCUGUGUGUCGUGAGCCACAGGAUGGGUGUAGCGACAGUUUCAAUGAUUUCUGCCCACACAUGAAAACAUACAGCCCCAUUUUUUAUGUAUCAUAACACAAAAUGGAUUUAGGCUUGGAAAAUAUGUAUUUAAUUGGUGUCAUUCUCUUAUGUGUACGUAUACAUUCAGAAGGUACAUGAGUGGAGCUGAGUGGUAGGUCCAAGUUGUUGUUAUUAUUAGCCUUGUGCUAAAAACUCCUCUUAUGGGUCCAUUUUGAAAUGACAUAUUUAAAUUACGCUUCUGGACAGAACCAAGAAGUCUUAAAGAAAUUAACAUCCAGUAAGAAACAAAGUAACUCAGCCGUGGUGUAGUCUUCCAACGAACAAACGCUACAUUGAUCAACUGGUCGGCAAAGUUUUACUUUAAAAAGCACUUGAUUAAAAUUACUCCGUCAAACAACUUAUUUUAAAAAAAAAAAGUUCACAAUGAGAAGGUAAAAG